AGGGACGAAAGCUCACAGUCUCAGGGUUUAUGGUUAUUGGGUUCCUUUCUGGCUUGUCUCUUGCCAGUCAUUCUGAAUUGACAUCCUUCCUGGGGGCACACGCACCACUCAGCCAAGAUGAAUUCCAGCGAAGAGGAUCCUGGGAAACUGGAGAUCACCACAGGCCCAUAAAGACGGCACAGAGAGCGGCCACACACAUGGAGAGAAUGAGGCCCUUGGAGUCACCUGGAACGGAUGAAGGCCUGGCUUCAUCAGCUCGACAUGUUGGAUCUUAGUUCCCUGACCAAGGAUCAAACCUGUACCCCCUGCAGUGGAAGUGCAGUCUUAACCACUGAACUGCCAGGCAAGUCCGUGAAUUCACUUUUUA